AUGAAAAUCGGGUUGACGACAGAACCCAACGUCAGACUGACGUCAAUCUCCGACGUUGAUUUUUUACUUCAGAAGAUCAGCACAGUGCUCAAACAAAAGAUUUUUGGCACAAACACUAAAACUAAAAACUUUGGGACUGGAAUAAUACUACAAAUGAAGACUUUGCCUCCCACUGCCAGCAGCUUACAUUCCGGAGAUGAGAUAACAACUGCCUACAUUCAAAGAGAAGAGAGAGAAAAUGCCUCCUGUUGGAUCCACUUGUUGCAUGAACUGCUGCAAAUUCUACAAAGGAUUGUGAUUCUUGAAACAAAGUUACUUGCCGGACUUCCAAAACAGACGGAACAUUCAGCAGACCAUCGUCAUGGACCCUCUCAGCAUACAGCCGGUGAGUCCCAUGAAUCUUCUGAAUCUCAACAGUUUAUACCAAGUGUAGAGGAACAAGCCAAAACUGAUCGCCACACUAAUCGAUGGCACAAACAGGGAGCGAGACCCAAAGGAACACGAGACAUCAGAUUGUCACGAGUUUCUCGUAUUGCUGCUGUAGCAUCCUCUACCCCAGAUUCGACUAUGACAAGGCUUGUGAAUACCAGUAUUCUACCACCCCCUAUACAUCUUGAGAACAGAUUUGAAGCAUUAAUGAAUGCGGGUGAGGAAUCCCCAAAUGUGAUUAAACAUCUAUUGGAUCAGCCAGCAGCUAACACCGCUACUAACAGGUGCUCAAGGUCGAGCAGACAACGACAUUCAGCUCAGAGCGCAGUCGAGCCCAGGACUCUGAUAGUGGGUGACUCUAUUAUCAGAAACAUCAGUAGCAGGACUACAACAACAUGCUGCCUUCCUCAAGCAACGGUUUCUGAUGUGAACAAGGAACUUCAGAAUAUUCUGAUGAAGCACAAGACUACAAAUCCAAUUAUCAUCCAUGUGGGGAAGAAUGAUACUCUGAAAGAGCAGUCAGAACUCCUUAAGAAGGACUUUAGUGAACCUUUUUCAAACACUUUGAAGACUCAAAGUUCAUCAGUGGACCACUCCCAACUGAUAACACCAUGCAGCCACAAUAAGCACUGCUGAUGGACACCAUCCCGGCCGAGCCCUGCCCUCAGAGCUCCUCACAGACAGACUGUGAUGUAUCAAAACAGCUACAAGACUCAGCACUCAAGGAUGACUUUCUGGAAGACAGCCGGGGAAGCCAAGACAACAUAUCACAGUCACCGGAAACACCAGAGACACAGCCCAUCUCACCAGACACAUUAUCCCUCUCUCCAGCAUCUCCACUUCUGUGCUUUUCACAGAAAAUGGUAGAAUUGGUGUAUGCUGGGACUAAACUCUCACACUCAUUCGUUGCAAGCCCGCAGAUAUCAACAAGAAAACAGCGGGCCCCCCAAACACCAAAGCCUGUGGGACCUGCUCCUGUGAGAGCUCUCCGACCGCUGCCACAACGCCAGGGCCCAAACCCUCCAUCUGCUGUAGGUUAACCAAAAACAGCUGAUAGCAGCUCUCAGUGAUAUGUGUCGGGUCCCCGCUAUAAUAGCAGCUACAUUCACAAAUGUUUAAAGAACAAGCGGGAACCCAGUGUGCCUGUAGCUUUCUCUAUUUCAGUUUUAUCAUGUGACAGAAAGUUUAAGUCCAUCUCAAGCCGAAGGGCAAACUCAUCUAAUCUGCAGCCUAGUAUGCAACAAACUAAAAACUGAUGUAAUGACAUAAAGCACUGCCAUCAAGUUAGCAUCUUUAAACAUUCGCUCACUAAAAAAAUUAAUCAUUUUCUAAUCAAUGACUUUAUAACCACAAACAAUCUGGAUUUUAUGUUUCUAAAUGAAACAUGGCUAGAAGACAGCUGCAGUACAACAGUCCUCAAUGAAGCACCCCUCCUAACUUUACUUUCAUGAGUGUGUGCAGGACUGUUAGGAGAGGUGGAGGUGUAGCUGCUCUAUUUAAAGAUGUCUAUCAAUGCAAGCAAGUGUCAUUUGGUCAGUACUUGUCUUUUGAAUAUCUAGGAAUUGUGCUGAAAGGUGCUCCAUGCAUUCUGUUUAUCAUUAUUUACAGGCCUCCAAAAUACUCUCCAGCCUUUGUUGAAGAGGUCACAGAAAUGUUAUCAAUGAUUUCUUCAGAGUUUGACUGUUUUGCUAUUGCAGGGGAUUUUAAUAUUCACAUAGAUAAUGCAGAAAACAAAACUACAAAAGAAAUGAUAACAGUUCUAAACACUUUUGACCUGAUUCAGCAUGUGCAUGGACCCACACACAAGGGUGGACACACUCUAGAUUUAAUCAUCAGUAGGGCUCUAAACAUUUCAUCCAUUGUUAUUAAGGACGUAGCACUAUCUGAUCACUUCUGUAUUUUCUUUGAUAUAUUGAUCUCUGCUACCACUGAAUCUAGAUCUGUCUCUGUCAGAAGGAGAUGCUUUCAAAUGUAGCUGCACUUAAUAGACCGAGCCGUAGUUUGCUGACAAGCGGCGCAAUAUCGCGUUCAUAAUCGCAGAUGAAUCGCAUGCGGUUAUGAACGUGAUAUUGCGUCAGCGAACUACUGACUCUGGACAUUAAGCGCUAAUCACAGAACCAGCUUUACUGACGAGACGCGCAUGACAAUUGCAUGCGAUUAAUAGUGCAGACCUAACGAGAACACUAGUGUACUAUUUAUGGAGGCUAUAUCUUUAACACUAAGUAUUUUUGCGGACUCUGUUGAUAUUCUCCUUGAUUCCUUUAACUCAAAAGUUAAGAAUGGUAUUAAUGAUAUUGCUCCAAUAAUAGUCAGUAAGAAAACAAACAGACAGAAAUCAGUUUCCCAGAGUCAGAUUCCCAGUGAAAUGCUGUCAGACUGCAAAUGCAAUGAGUUUGCUUCCUUCUUUUCUGAGAAGAUCAUCAAUAUCAGGAAGGCGAUUAGCACAUCCUCAAGCAAUGCAGAGGUAAGACAGAUUCGGCUGCAAUAUCAAAAAGAUACUGUCUAUUUUGAAGCAAUUGAUAGCAACAUUUUGGAAGACAUAGUGCAGCAACUAAAAUCGUCAACUUGCUAUCUUGACACACUUCCCACAUCUUUUUUCAAAAAUGAUGCAGCUCAUCCAGAACGCUGCUGCCAGGAUUCUGACUAGAACCAGAACAUCUGAGCACAUCACACCAGUCCUCAGGUCCUUACACUGGCUUCCAGUUACAUUUAGGAUUGAUUUUAAAGUACUUUUACUCGUCUAGAAGUCACUCAGUGACCUAGGACCAAAAUACAUUGCUUCCAGAAUCAGCUUCCAGAAGAGAUCAGAUGUGCUAAAACACUAGUCACAUUUAAAUCUAGACUCAAAACUCAUCUGUUUAGCUGUGCAUUUAUUUAAUGAGCACUGUGCGAUGUCCGACCUGAUUGCACUGUAUUUU
ensembl:lncRNA